ensembl:snRNA U6 U6 spliceosomal RNA
GUGCUCACUUCGGCAGCACAUUUACUAAAAUUGGAAUGAUACAGAGAAGAUCAGCACAGUCCCUGAAUAAGAAUGACACACAAAUUCAUGAAGCAUUUCCUAUUUUU